rnacentral:rRNA from 1 species
GAUUAUAAAUUUAAUUAUUAUUAUUGAUUUUUUAAAGUAUUAUUUUAUUUAUUAUUAUAAAAGAAAAAUUUUUUUUUAUUAUAGUUUACUAGUAAAGUGAUUGAAUUUAUUUAUAUAUUAAUAAGAAAAAUUUAUUUUUUGUACCUUGUGUAUCAGGGUUGAUUAAUUUUAUAAUUAUUAUUAAUUUUUCUCGAAUUAAGAAGAGCUAAUUAUGUAUAUGUUUAAUUUUUUCAUAAAUUUUCAUAAUAUAUAAUUUGAAAUGAAAUGUUAUUCGUUUCUUAAUAUAUCUAGUUUUUUAAGAAAAGAAUUUAAUUCUCUUAUUAUUUAUUAUUAGUUAAUUUUUAGUUAAUAAUUUUUAGUAUGAAAUAAAUAAAGGGAUAAGCUUUUAUUUUGAUAAUUAAAAAUUUAUUUGGUUUUAUUUUUUGUAUAAUUUAAAUUGUUAAUCAUUUUUAUAAUAUAAUAGUUAAUUUUAUUUAAUUAAUGAUUUAUAUUUAUUUUAAUUUUUUUAUUAAAAAUUUAUGUUUAAUUUUUUAGCUUUUUUAUAAUGAUUAAAUUAGUAGAUAAAUAUGUAUUUAUUAUUUAUUUUUUAAGAUAAUAAAAAGGAACUUGGCAAAUAAAUUUUUCGCCUGUUUAUUAAAAACAUGUCUUUUUGAUUAUAAUUUAAGGUUUAAUCUGCUCAAUGAUUUAUUAAAUUGCCGCAGUAUUUUGACUGUGCAAAGGUAGCAUAAUAAUUAGCUUUUUUAUUGAAAGCUGGAAUGAAUGAUUGGACGAAAAAAUUUCUGUCUCUUUAUUAUUUAUUACUUAAUUUUACUUUUAAGUUAAAAGGCUUAAAUUUUUUUAAAAGACGAGAAGACCCUAUAGAGUUUUAUUUUUGUUUUUUGAUUGAUUUUUAGAAUUUAAAAUAUUUUAUCCAAUAAAAAAUUUAGUUGGGGUGACUUAAAGAUUAAUUAAACUCUUUUAAUUGAAAUCAUUUAUUUAUGAAUAAAGAAAUUAUUUUUAUAAAUUUAAAAUAAAUUACCUUAGGGAUAACAGCGUUAUUUUUCCUUAGAGUUCUUAUUGAAAGGAAAGCUUGCGACCUCGAUGUUGGCUUAAAAUUUAUUUUUGGUGCAGAAGCUGAAAUAUUAAGUCUGUUCGACUUUUAAAAUUUUACAUGAUCUGAGUUUAAACCGGUGUAAGCCAGGUUGGUUUCUAUCUUUAAAUUUUUAAUAUAUUUUAGUACGAAAGGACCAAAUAUAUAAUAUAUUAUUUUAUUUUGAAUAAUAUU